GUCGGGUUUUAAUCCUGUUUGCUGUCUGAACUGCAUUAUGUGGAUGUAUUUAAAAUCCUUACCACUCUAAAAUCUUUCAAAGAGGGAGAAAAAUAAGGGAAACUGCCAGCCCGAAAGCAAGAAAUAGUUACUUAUCAAACAUUUCAAAACAGUUUAUUGCUGCCGGUUUUAUUUUAACCCCCACGUUACACUUCAGCUUGGCUUUGCGCUUCAUUAUUUUGCUCCAUUGCAAGUGUUGGAAUCACUUGGAGUGGAAAUUUCAGGUCUUUUCCAGCUCUUCUGUUUGUGUCCAGCAGAUUCGGUCUGGAUUGUGUGUGCAGGGAAGCCACAACCCCUUGGGGUGGUGUCCCUUUGUCACCAACGCGCUCCAAGGGCAGAGGGUGCUGCCUGCCACGUGUUUGGCAUUAGGCAUCAACCAUUGCAAAAAAAAGCUAAAACCACAUCACAGAGAAAGAGUAGGGUAAUGGAGCUUCAAAGACACUCAUCUCAGCAGAGAAAAUAUGUAUUUAUGUUGUUAUUACGUUUCUCUAACUCCAGGUCCCAGAGAACCACGUUGAGAUAAGGAUCAAUUGAACUGAUGGUUGGCUAUUUCCGACACAGUGACAUCUCACCCUGUGCUGUUGCCCUGAUUCAGACCAGCUCAGAGUUUACCGCUUCCCUGAAAAUAUAAAUUGCAAAUAGGGUUUGCUCCUCCUGAGAAAAUCUGUGCUUUAGACUAGGGACUGGUUUCACAAAAAGCUAUAAGAUGCAGAAUGUCCCUGUCACUCUGCAGCAACUCAGCUGAUGGCUCAUUAUUCCAACACGUAAAUACCUGACUCCUGCAGAAGCCAAAUGUGCAUCUUGAGGUGUUGAUGGCAUCUCACUAUUAUACAAAAAAAAAAAAAUGUAUAUCUGUCUCAUUCUAGCUUGGUUAAAAAAAAAAAAAAACUCAGCAAAAGAAGGGAUUAUGUAUAAAUACAUAUAUUUGCAAGUGUCAGCCUCAAAAUAGGAAGAAAAACUUGCAGCAGUGCUGUGGGCCUGGUGGAGAUGGAAAUGAAUUGGUUUUAUGCAGCCGCUGGUCCGAGGGAAGGUAAGUGAAACAAAUGGGGGCUUUGCUGCGGGCACGUUGGUGAUGAAACCAAUUAGGGGAAGUCACGUCGCGUCCUAUGUGCCAACACGCUCCAUUAGGCUUCGGAGCAAGGCCACAUGCUUUCUGUAUAAAAAUAGUGUACAGGCAGCAUUAGUUAAUCGAGGGGCAAAAUGGUGAAACCACUUUCUUUUGCAGUUCCUGUGUUUUCUUUCCUCCUUCUUCCUAAAUCAGCAAUUCAUCUCACUCAGGGUCUGUCAUGGGAAGGGGAUGAUGAUUUAGAGGAUCAGUACUGCUCCAGGGGUGCAGGAGCUCGGGAAAAACAUUUGGGCAGGGUUCUUAUUUGCAGCUACUUUGAGGUCUCUGAAAUAAGCAGCGCUUUUCCAGCCUCCUUUUUUGACCGCCACACCUUGGCUACGCUUCCACCUGCAUCCCACUUCAACACCACCAUGCACUGCACAAGUUUAUGGAUGGGAACUGGAGGGUGUUCUUGUAUAUAGCUGACUGAAAGGUCACGUUAAAGGAUGUGUUUGAAGCCUUCCCUGAUGCAGCUGUAACCACCUGAAAGCUUAUGGCCAGCCAGCAUCUGCAUCACAAACCAGAAAGCUUGAGUCUAUUGUUGCUCUAUUUAUAUUUCUCUUUGGUCCCCCUAAAGAGGAGGGAUUUGCAGAUGCUGUAUCUGCUCUGCCCUGGAACAGGUAACAGGGACUGUCACAGCUGAGCCAAAAUCAGAAACAAGGCAAGCUCACCCCCCAGCCACCCCAUCUAUCAGCCUCCACCUUGGCUUAACAAGGACCAGCUCUGCGAUUAGAGCAGGGCAGAUUGAAUUUGCUCGGGCUGCGGUUGUGACGGAUGUUUCCUAGCAGCCGGAUGGUGCAUGUGGUUCUGAACAUUUGUGUUAAUAAUGAUGAUGAGUACUGGAAAUAUGGCUCUUCAGGAAAUAAAGAUCACAUCAGCCCAAACACCAUGUAAGCUUCAUUUCUUUCACAAGGCAGACUACUCGGGCAUGAAAUACUGUCACUCUUUACCCUGUGGAUGACUGAUUCCAGACUUGACCUAGUGCAAGCCAGUGUAAGUAAACACAUUUCCUCCAUAGCUCUAGUAAAUGAUCUAAGCAAUCUGAGAAUGAGGAGAGAAGGGAAAAUAGUGUCCUGGUGCUGCUGGAUGAGUUUAAUAUAUUUUUCUUCUUGUGUUUAGCAGGUUGUUUGUAUGGGGAUGGCGAAGGCUGCAUCCAUCAACGCACGAUGACGUCUGGCUCUGUGGGAAGGGGCAUUGAGGGGACUGAAGCUAUAUUACGAUUUCAACACAUCUGCAGCAAAUAGAGAUUUCUACUGGACAGGCAUGCUGCAGUCGGGCUUUACAAAUUUCCGCAGAAUCUCUUGGGAGCAGCAAGAGCCUCUGAAGAAGCAAUAUUUGGACGGGAAACUUAUGUCCUCCAAGCUGGCAGGUUGCAACACUGACACAGAUUUUCUUGUAGCUGCAGAGCUCUUUGUAUAAAGGGCUGCAGGAAACAUCCCUGGCGGAUUUGGCAGGCGGGAGAGUUUCCUGGGGAAAACAAGGCGCCGCAGCCCCGGUGCCAGCUCCACCCCCGGGAACCCCGGCACCAGCCGAAUCUGAGAGGAAAAGAGACAUUUUUAAGGAUAUUUCCUUGGGUUUGCAAAGAACAGGAGCUGGAUAAAGACCCAAGUUAGAGACUCUGUCCUUGCUCAAACCCUGGCUGCCCGUGAGCACCUAUAGCUGCCACCUGGUUAUAUACGUAGGGAGCCCAGGAUGGGAAAAGGCUUCUCUGGGCCAGUGUCUCUACAAGGAACAGAGAUGGAAAGAGUGGAGACAGCUGUCCCUCUGUCCCCUGCAAGCGGAGCUGUCAGCAGUCUCGGGAGGAUGUUAAAACAGGAGGAGAAAGGCAGAUCCUGGUGGGUCUCCAUGGGGAAGCCCAGGGAUCAUCCAUAACAGCCUUUGGCUCGGUCUGAAAGGAAGCACUGAAGGCAUUGUGAAGUGUCAAAGUGAAGACGCUUCUCAAAACACCCCUGUGGACUUAUUAACUUCAAUAUUGGAUCUUCUGUCUUUUCCAGCAGGUUCCCAGCUCUAGGCGUGCAGCCAGCUUGGCUGUAGGUCUGUUUAUUUUGCAGCUAAUGUAGCAGCAGCAUCAAUUCCAGCUAACAAAUCUGGGAAUGUCAGAAAAAUGAUAUCCGGGUCCCGUAGAUAAUUUGUGACAUACACCUGGUAAACAGUUGUUAGUAGGACAAUUAAUCCAGCUCUAUGGCAGAGGAAUAUGAAUGCCUUGCAGAAGUGGACACGAAUUGUGGAAAACCUAUCAUCAGAGCAAUAAAAGCACAUGUGCCCUGUUGAUCAUCGCUGGGCACUGCUGGAUGGGAAAAUUGCACUUGGAAACAAGGCAAUGCACACAAAAACUCGUCUGUAAGUGUUCCCUGCAGUACCUCUGCCUGUAGGACUGUAAGUGGCAUCUGACUGCUGCUCAUCUGGCACUGUGCUGCAAAUGAGUUUGAAAUGUGACUGUCCAAACUGAACCACCAGCACUUGUUACCAACCCCAUUAAGCUUUAAACAGCACUUGGGCCUUGCUCCUUGCUCAUCCAUGCUGGGCUCGGGUUAUUUAACACAUGGGCUCUGACAUAUGUGGACCAGCUGGACCAUGAACUGCCAGGGACCCAAAAACUGGGACCUGCAGCCCCAGCCCUGCCAGGUGGCACCAACCAGGAGGUUCCUCCUGUUGGGAGAGGAACAAAAAAUCCAGCAAAAAAAGGCAGGAGUAGGCUAAGAACUAAAGAAAAUAAAUUUAAAAAUUUAUAGGUUUUGCCUUUUCCAAUAGCUUGAAUGAGAUUUCAGUGGGUGCCGCUUUUCUGUGGUCCCUGUGAGUGCUGGGUUCUGCAUGUUGGUGCUUGCCGUGCACAAACUCUUCCCUUUCAUCCUUUCAUCUUCUUGCCUCUCUCUUAUUUCUAAAUAUGCAAAUACAUCAGAGGAGCGUUUCAAACUCCUGGCUACAAAUAGAUCUGAAGGGCCUUUGAGCUCUUGAGAGGCUCCUGCCUUACUCAGAAAAAGAAUGUAUGGAUGCUGUGCAUUCCCUCUGCAGCACCUCCUGGCCGGAUCCAGCGUGAGGUCCAGUCCUGGCUCCCCUUUCCACCCUUCCCUGAGGUAACAAAGCACUGUGAAGCUGUUUUCACCGCGCCUGGAAGAGUUUUCAUCUCAGAGAGGAGGAAAAGAGCAGGACCCCAGCAAACAAGAGGCACUUGGGUCUGGGAUUUCAGGUGCAAACUGUGAAUAUUACCAUGAAGGUCAAUGAAGCCAAAUGUGUAUAAAAGCAAAGGAGGGAGAGAAAAGAGAUCCUGCUUUUGGGGAUAUGCUGUUGAUGACUAGGAAAAGGUGCUGUUUCUGGUACCACUGUGGAAAACACGGGGAGUUUCUUCUGUUCUGAGGUCUGUGACACCCAAGCUGAAUUCAGCUUCCAUGGUCCCAGCAACUUAAGGUGCAGCUGAUCUCAGCAUUGGUAAUUUUUGCAUGAAAUAAACUCUUACUGCUCAUUUUCUGCACCUCUCAAAUCUGUGUUGAGCCCUGGGAGCUCCAGCUACACCAUGGAGCAUCCUGAGCUGCAUCAACCGCCUGCUGCCUUGUGUCACAGGGUUCAGAGGAAGCUGCUCAGUUUAUUCUCAGCCAUUUGUCCCCACUGAGCCUCAGCCUGGGGUCACCGUGCUGCAAAUUUCCUGGUUCUGCUGAAUGUUGUGCUCUGGGAUCCCAGGACCUGGCAAAGGCCCUGGGUCAGCUCAUCGCUACAGGCAUCCCAUCUCCUGCUCCAGUAAAAACCAGUACCAGAGGACUUCGGAAGAAACCUUUUGCAAUGAGCAAUCAAGGGGGAAAAUCCUCUUGUGGAGCCUCUGCUAAUUGUGAGCACGUGGCAAGCGACUUGUAUUAAAUCAUUCAAUAAUCAUUAAGAGAAGAUCUGCAUUACGUUUCUCACCUCUGGAAAAGGCGGAUGACGCCAUUCACCUGCGU